UCCGGUUUGUCACCGGCAGUCUCGCUAAAGUGCCCAACUUAAUGAUGGCAAUUAACGACAAGGGUUGCGCUCGUUGCGGGACUUAACCCAACAUCUCACGACACGAGCUGACGACAGCCAUGCAGCACCUGUGUUCAGGUUCCCUUUCGGGCACCCCCCGAUCUCUCGAGGGUUCCUGACAUGUCAAGGGUAGGUAAGGUUUUUCGCGUUGCAUCGAAUUAAUCCACAUCAUCCACCGCUUGUGCGGGUCCCCGUCAAUUCCUUUGAGUUUUAACCUUGCGGCCGUACUCCCCAGGCGGUCGACUUCACGCGUUAGCUGCGUUACUCAAUGAGUCUCCUCACCGAACAACUAGUCGACAUCGUUUAGGGCGUGGACUAC
rnacentral:misc_RNA from 1 species